rnacentral:tRNA from 1 species
GUGGUUAUAGUUUAGUGGUAAGUAUUCCACGUUGUGGCUGUGGAGACUUGGGUUCGAAUCUUAGUAGCCUUA